AAUGUGCACAUGGGAGACAGUGUAUUAAUGGAGAAAAGAUCAUAUAUUGACUCUAUCUGGAAGACUACCAUUGGGUUUUAGGAGGGAAUACUGCCAUGAAUUCAUGGAAUAUUGGUGUCCCGUAGGUUUGAGAAAGUCUGAUUCCUGGGAGCACCGUGGGCAACUCAGUGCCUCCUCCUGGGCUCUGAUGUUCUCACCUGUAUCAGUGCAGUGGGAUAAAGACUCAGGUUCUCCAACCCCCAGCACAGUGCCUGUGGUCCAGGUGCCAGGUGUCUGACCUGAGAGGAUGCUCCUCCAUCAUCCUUCCUGGUUCCUUUCAGUUGAGUCCAGUUUGCUCACUUCCCAGACUGCUGAGCUGACAGCCUUUUCUCGAGUAGAAUCACUCUCACCAGGUAAGGAUGGUAAGGGGUCCAGGCUCGGGACAGGUGGCAUCCUGGAGGAGGCCUGUGGAGGAAGCAUGCCCCUUACCUUCCUACCUACUGCACCCACUGCUGCUGCCUCCUUUGGCCAGACUCUUCAUCCUUUUUCCACUCAUCUUUCAAGAGGCAACUCAACUACAAGUUUCCCAGGAAAUUCUUCCUUGUUGUCCUGUCAGAAGCAACUAUUCCUUUUCUGGAACCUUCAAAUUCUGUGUUCCUCUGGGAUGUUGGUGGGAUUCUCCCAUAAACAGUGGACAACCCCAAACUAUUAGCUGUGCCCUGGUUCCCAAUUUUGUUCGGUCUCUGUGUAUUUUCCUGUAACAAAAGUUCUUAUUAUGGAUCUUAGGUCAACUGCUAAAGUAGGGUUUAAUAAGCCUAGAAUGUGUAAAACACAGAAGAUUGAAGGGUUGGGUACUAUAGUGCUGAGCGUGGAAUCAGCUGUGUUGCAAGUAGGGCUGACAGAGGAGUGUGACACAGUUGUUCCAGCGCCACCAAUGAAGGGAGUGGAAGGAACUACUCGUUUCCAAAACUCUGAGUCCUCCAGGGAGGUAUCAAGGGCAGGACCCAUCGCCUCCUGAGAAACAAGGCGUCCUCAAGUCCCCUUACCCAUGGGCUGGGAGGCAGAAGCAUCCUGGGGUCAUCCCACUGCUUGCCACCCCUCUCCCCUCACCCAGCUCUUCCACCCUAUGUCAGCUGCUUCCCUCCACAUUAACACUACCCACACAGUGCUGCAACUCAGAAAACUAAGUGGCAUCUUGUCCCAUCUCUCCAAUCCCAGUCUGCCAUCAAGUCUUCUGAAUUUUAGGUUCAUCAUUCAAAUUGAUCCUACUCUUUCCCCUUUUUCUUCCACCGUCCUAACCAAACCAUUGUCAUCCAUUCGCUGGAUGAUUACCGUUCCCCAGACUUCAGCUGGAUGGAUAUUAAAUCUACAGACCAUUCGUUAAGCCAUACUCACAGUCAUCCAGGGGCUUGCUGGUACUCUUGGGUGGCCUGGUAAGUCAUGGCAAGAAAUUUGAAACUCACUUCUUUAGCUCUGUCUUCCCUGAUUCUCUCCUUUGGAGCUCCAAAUGUGUGCCUUUCUGUUCGAGGGUUUAAGAUGGCAUGGUCUUUCUGCACUGCACGUAUCUCCUCACUCCCCAAAUCAUCUUUUACUUUUCAUCUUCCAUGUCACUUCUUCAGAACUGACACCUUUCUGUAUCCAACAAUUAGAUCUUGUCCCCUUCCUACAGACUGUAAGAGAACCUGAGUGGUUUAUUCAGCACUCUGACAGUUUGUCGUCAGACAUUAAGAAAUGACAAAAUAUGUGUUUUGUACCUUUCUACUAGACUGAAAAUCUGUUGGGAGUGUAAGGUAUCAUGUCUGAAUUCUCAUUAUUGUUUUCCUGGGAGAUAGCAUAGUUUCUGGCUAUGAUGCACAAAUUGAAUAGUUGGUAAAUUAAUAAAUAAAUGAACCACAUUACUCUACCUAAGGAAGACAGGCAGGUAUGCCCUAGGCGAUGACUUCUUUCUAAGGCUAACAGUCACUGGGCUGCCCUUUAAUCUUGUUUCCUGUUCUCUACAUCUUCCCAGGCCAGCAGGGUGUGACUGACUGCAAUAUACAUGGAAAAGGGAUGGGAUCCAUCCUUUGGGAACGAGCCCCUCCCUGGCAUUAGGAAAUAGAUUUCCUGUGGCCUGCAUCAAACUCAUCUCUCACCUCAGAAAUCCUGCCAGUAUCUACUGGUUAACUAUGUGACUGAGGCCCAGCUUGUAGUGUUAGGAGCUGCACAGAUAUUUUCUCCCAUCUUGUUAGUCUGGCUUUGGUUUCUCCAAAUGUCAUCCAUCUGACACCACUGCCGCUUGCCUUCCCUAAAGCAGAUCUUCGAUCUGUCACUGUCUUGCACAUCAUCCAACAGCGAUGGCUCUACCUGAAGGUGGAGUGAGUGUAGGUGGUAUGACAGAGACAGAGCAAACUAUCCUUAUCCCUAAAUAUCCAACUUCCUUAUGCUCCGACAGACCUCUAUCUGCAGCGUUACGGGUUCUUUUGGGCUUAGUCCCACUUCUUCAAUCCAGUGGUGGCCACCUUUGAUUUCCCACACACACCUGCCCACCUGGGGAGUCUUUUCCCUCUUCUAGCUCUCCAACGUUCCAUGCUCAGCCCUCACUGUCAGGCACAUCAAAGCAUAACUUAAAUCCCAGCCUCCAGCUGUAUGUUCUGCCUGCGAAUGCUAUCACACCCCUGUGUGAGGACAGGCUUCGUUGUACUUCAAAUUUCAGUGGCUUGAUACACAAUAAAUAAAUGUUUGCUUUUCCCACAAUAAAUCAACACUAGAUCCACAGGAGGCUUUUCUCUUCAGAAAAAGUUAGCAGCCCAGACUGAGAAUGGUUCUACUAGCUGGAAUAUUUCUAAGGAAAAGAGCACUUAGAAAGUUCACAUGUACUUUUCUUGUUCUGGUUCAUAAGUAGUACAAGUCACCUCCACUCACAGCUAUUGUCCAAAACUAAUCUCGUGGCUCUGCCUAAAUGCAAAGGAGCCAGGAGACACUAGCAGCAUCCAGAUAGCCAUAGCCAGGAACUACCUGUCCCAAAGCAAGCCAAACCAGUGCUGCAUACAGUACUUAAUUCCAGAAUCUGCUCCUAGGGGCAUGUGGGACCAAAAUGUUUUCUAUUUCAAACAUAGCAUUUCAUGACUGGAGAUCUUAUUAAUAGGUUGAAGGCCAAAGUUUGGCCUUUCUUUGAUAUUAGCUCUGUAUUAUAUUUGUUUUGUGUCCUGUGACAGAUGACAAAUGCCCUUAAAACAGGGACUUUUCUAAUAUAACUUCCUCAAGCAGCAGUGAUAGAGGAAAGCCCUGGGUGUGAGUGGAGCUUUGUCUCUGGAAAGCCAUGUGAUCUUGGACUAUUUAACCUCUGGUGCCAGUACAGCCUUGAACUCCAAAACAAAGCCACAGAAGUUCUUUAGUUGAAAUGUCAACUACUUCACCUCUGUAUGUACCAGUGUGGGAACUAAACAGCUUCCCUGGAAGCCUUCAUCUCAUUGGUACCAUGCAGAUAAUACUGUACGUAUGUGUGAGGUUGUUGUGGAUAUUAAUGGGCCGGGAAAGGCUUGAAUAUUUAAUAAGUGUUCAUUGUUGGUGGCCGUUCUGAGAACCUUGGUUUCCUCAACUGUAAACCAAGCAUAGUAAAUAAUGAAUCUUGCCAUGCCUGUUCCAUGGUGUCAUUUGGAACCAAAUCAAAAUGAACAGAAGGUAGAAGUGCAUUGUAAACUGAAAAGUGCUGCACAGUAGUUAGUGUUUAUUACAUAGUCUUGCUAGGCAAUGCAGAUACAAAACCAUAAUAAUGCCAGCUUAGGCAGGAGUAGGUGACUAGUUGGUAUGUGUUGUAAUGAGUUAAGUACAAACAUUAAACAGGAUAUUUUUCUAAUUGUGCAGCAUCAUGAUGGCCCUGCCCCUCCCCUGUGACCAUGUGCCUUUGCUUUUCAUGUGGAAAGUGCUCUGCAUGCUUCUGGCACACAGGGGGAUGUCUCCUAGUGGCUCAGGGCAGCCCCCAUCUCCGGUCCUCACUCCUCGGCAGUUGCACAGGAGUCCUUGCUGUUCACGUGCCUGCCUUAGUCUCACUGGAGAGAAACGAGAGGGGGCAUCUGGGAAAGGGCAAGUUACCCUCCAUGUCUCUGACCCAGUUCAUUUCUCAUUUAAAGACAGGGCAGAAAGGGUCAUAUUUCUCUCUGAUGUCUUUAUUUUCCUGUCAAUAAAAACCUUGUUAGCUGCCUGGCUGGGCAGGGUUUAAGGUUGGCAGUCCCGUCUCUGUGCCUUCAUUAACCCUGGGUUAGUGUUGGAGAGUUGACGCGCUAAAUCUUUCUUGUUCAGAGGCAUCAGGUGCGGUCAGAAGUCUAGUGCUAUUGAUUUGGCCUGGGAUCUGUGCUCUUGUUAGUUUGGCAAGGAGCCAUGAGGGACGUGGAGAAGCAUUAGAAAUGGAUAGGGGUGGGUAAUGGGGAGAGGAGUGGGCAGGAGUGGGUUUGCUCCAGUCAGAGAGCCUAGGUCUGAAGCCGGCUCCAUUGACUUAGAACAUUUCUGCACCUGCCUUUCUGGUUCCCAGUUUCCUUAUAUUGUUGAAAUAACAACUGCAAAGUGCUCGGCAUCAUGCCUGGGAAGAAGGAAGCCUGCGGUUUUAGCACUGAUAACGAUUAUCCAGUGUUCACUGAAACCUAUAAAGCACCUACUGUGUGUCAAGUACUGUUUUAUAGAGUUGAAAUACAUCAGGCACUGAAAGCAAAUUCCUCAUCCUCAAGUAUUUUAUAUAAGAUUAAAAAUGAUGAUGAUGAUGAUGAUGAUGAUGAUGAUGAUGAUGAUGAUGAUGACAACGACAAUGAUAAUUUCGCCCCCUGCCUCUGGGAGGUCAAUAUCUAUUGGGGGAAAUAAAAUGCAUCCCCAUACUGCCAUGGCUUGGAAUAUGUGUUGUCUGCUAUACUUCUGUUGUACUUCGAGUUCCUCCAGCGUACAAAGGUUGCUCUAUACAACACUCGGUCUCCACUUUCUGGUUUGAUGAGUGUGGUAAUGAGUUUUAUGCAUUAACUUUUCAACCCUGUGAUAGGGCAGAAAGAGGUCUCAUGGCUCGUGGAAGCCCUACGCAAUCAGAGAAGCUAUGCUGGGGUGUUGUAAGACAGAUGCCAUUCAUUUAUUC
rnacentral:lncRNA from 1 species